CAGUGGCAGCCCAGUUAAUUUCAGAACAACUUGAACUGGGGCACAUUGAACCUUCCACCAGCCCGUGGAAUACGCCCAUCUUUGUCAUCAGAAAAAAGGCAUCUGGAAAAUUCCGUCUUCUCCAAGACCUUCGAAGGGUUAAUGAACAAAUGCAACCGAUGGGGACCUUGCAACCCGGCAUUCCUAAUCCCAACAUGCUACCACAAAACCAUCAGCUUGCUGUCAUCGAUCUCAAAGACUGCUUUUUCUCUAUCCCUCUGGCACCACAAGACAGACAGCGUUUUGCCUUUAC